rnacentral:tRNA from 1 species
GCUUUCGUGGUGGAGUCAGUAGCGCGUUCAGAUGUUAACUGAAAGAUUAGUGGUUCAAAUCCACUCGGUAGUA